rnacentral:misc_RNA from 1 species
UUUCUUUGUUGAUUAAAGUUCACCCAUGACCUUCUUCAAACACAAACCUACAGCUCCAUUUUACUGCUUUUUCUUCUUAUUCUUCUAUGCACUCCUCAAGAUUAUCCUUCCACAACCACCUGUCUGGCAGUCUAAGCAAUUCAACCCUAACUAAUUCUUUCCUAAUUACUCUUUUAAUUACUUCCAUUGGUUUCAAGCCUCAUCACUAAGGAAUACCUGUCCACAUUUCCACUUCUUUUCAUGUUUUUCAACUUAAAACAAAAUACCCAUUUUCAAUUUUUUUUUCCUUUUUCUGAUAUAUAUUAAGAUCGGAUGAUGUUUUAAAUUGUCUUGCUUUUCACUGAAUAAUUAACAGGCUCACCAUUGCUUUUCACUCAAGCCUACACCUAUUUUUUUGGCUGUGGGCAUUGGUGAGAUGGCCUGUGGAGAGAGAGAGAGAGAGAGGAGU